UACAGAGACUGCAAGCGUUAUUCGGAUUUACUGGGCGUAAAGGGUGCGUAGGUGGCAACGUAAGUUGGAUGUGAAAUCCUGGGGCUCAACCUCAGAAUUGCAUUCAAUACUGCUUAGCUAGAGAGCUGUAGAGGAGACUGGAAUUUACGGUGUAGCAGUGAAAUGCGUAGAUAUCGUAAGGAACGCCAGUGGCGAAAGCGAGUCUCUGGGCAGCAUCUGACACUGAGGCACGAAGGCCAGGGGAGCAAACGGG
rnacentral:rRNA from 1 species